AUAAAAUACAACAUGGCGUAUGUAGUGUACAUUUUUUGUUUUUUUUACGGUUCAAUAUACCUGGGUGAGGUUGAUGACCUGUGGAAUUUUAAAUGUCGAUAAAAUUUGAAAUUUGAUUUACGUGAGUAUAACAAUGAGUCACACGGUGCGUGUGGCCAAAAAUUAAAUUCUACAAGGGAAAUAUUAUAAUAUUCGUAUAAAAAUAUCAAAAUAUGUCGGAAGUUUUUCAAUAUUUCAAGAGUGUCUUUUCCGUAUUUUUUUUUUUUUUAUUAAUUUCGAGUCCCAUGUAUAGCAUACGACUGACCCAAUCCGGUGACUCACGUCACCCAACCAUGUUUUACAUUUGGGCCAGUCGUAUGAAAAAUUCGUUUUUCCCCCUUUUCUUUUCAUCGUUUCGUAUGAAAAUACUUGUAAACAAUUUCGUUUUUUUUUUUUCGAUAAUGCAAUUUUCCAUCAACACUACGACCACUUUGGUCGCUUCCCACGUAUUGUACACCGGGUAUGGUUUUUUAUUUUUUUUGAAUGUCAUUGUAUAUAUUUUCUGUACGCCACAACCUUUUCAAUUACUUUUGCGAUCCCCACUUUUGGUUCGGUACGGAGACCAUUUUUUUUUUUUUCAAUUUCGUUGUUGCAUUGUUCCAACGUUUUUUUCUUUUACGGCGACACACGCGUUUUCCCGGCAUAUUAUUCAAAUAUCAUAUAUUUUAUCCAUAUUUAAUCACAUACAACUUCCAAUAUACAUUUAAUAACUAUGUCAUUCGUUUUUGUAGCUAACAAUAUUAUUG